rnacentral:rRNA from 1 species
CCUACGGGAGGCAGCAGUGAGGAAUAUUGGUCAAUGGCCGGAAGGCUGAACCAGCCAAGCAGCGUGAAGGACGAAGGUGCCACGCAUUGUAAACUUCUUUUGUCAAGGGACAAAAUCAGGCUCGAGAGCCUGACCGAGGGUACUUGAAGAAAAAGCAUCGGCUAACUCCGUGCCAGCAGCCGCGGUAAUACGGAGGAUGCGGGCGUUAUCCGGAUUUAUUGGGUUUAAAGGGGGCGUAGGCGGCAUGUUAAGUCAGCGGUAAAAGCCCGGGGCUAAACCCCGGCGAGCCGUGGAAACUGGCGUGCUUGAGAUGUCGGGAGGCAUGCGGAAUGCGCAGUGUAGCGGUGAAAUGCUUAGAUAUUGCGCAGAACUCCGAGUGCGAAGGCAGCAUACCGGCGGCGAUCUGACGCUGAGGCUCGAAAGCGUGGGUAUCGAACAGGAUUAGAUACCCUGGUAGUC